rnacentral:tRNA from 1 species
AUUUAAAUAGUUUAAAUAAAAAUGUUAGCUUGUGGUGCUAAAGAUGUAUAGAGUACUUUAAAUA